rnacentral:rRNA from 12 species
AGUGGAUCCUGAGUACGGCGGAACACGUGAAACUCCGUCGGAAUCCGGGAGGACCAUCUCCCAAGGCUAAAUACUACCUAGUGACCGAUAGUGAACCAGUACCGUGAGGGAAAGGUGAAAAGAACCCUGAAUAAGGGAGUGAAAUAGAUCCUGAAACCAUACGCUUACAAGCGGUCGGAGCCCUUUAGUGGGGUGACGGCGUGCCUUUUGCAUAAUGAGCCUACGAGUUACCGUUGCCAGCAAGGUUAAGCAGUUCAGCUGUGGAGCCGUAGCGAAAGCGAGUCUGAAUAGGGCGCUUUAGUU